rnacentral:lncRNA from 1 species
UGUGGAACAUAAGCAGAUAGAUUACCAGUAUAUGAAGGUAAGCAACGACAUUGGAACAUUUCAUCAACAAAAUUCAGGCCUCCUACGGAAGGUAGAAACUUUACAGGAAUUAGUUCAAUUCCCGUGAAAAUCAUCCUAAAGCAAGGCUCAAGCUCAAGCUCAAGCAUGAUAAUAAUGCAGCAAGAACACCAUGAAGCAACAGAGAUGCUGUGAGACCUUUGCUGUUCUUGCUUGAAAUCAAACCACUAGUACAUUACAUGUCAACCGAUCUGAACAGAAGCUAAUGACUAAAUGAUCAAUUGAUCAUACACUGAAAGGUAGCAUCACGAACCCGAGCUGAUCUUCCCAAAUCGAAAUGAUCAACUAAUUGCACUGCAAUUUCCUGAGCGUGACAACAGAUACAUGAUACACCGCCGGAGCAAACUGCUCCGGCGACCAAGACAGCAUCAACACCACGAACUGACACACCAUCUCCGGCGACUGACCGCCGCCGGCGUCAUCCAGCACCUACACGCUCCUCCCUGAAUUAGAACAACACGAACGGAGAAGAAAAAAGAACUCCACAUCAAACAACAGCAGCAGCAUAAACUUGAGUGAAAUGUUAGCGCCCGCUUCCUCUUCGGCCUUGGGUUGAAGGCCGCCCUCUCACACGAAGCCGACCUCGGCGAACUGCGGACGCGGCUUCGCCGNNN